rnacentral:lncRNA from 1 species
AUAUAUCCGAUGAAUUUACUUAAGUCAUGUGCAUACAUAUAUCCGAUGCUUCAAGCAUUAGUCAAUUCCUCUUCAAACAUUUUUUUCUAUCAUUUUUUCGCCAUCUUCUAUGAUGCACUUGUUUGCCUCCCAACAUCUACUCUUCUUUUAUCUUCUAUGCUCAUUUACAUAUAAUAAAACUUUGAAUUCAUUCUUAACUCAAAACUAUUUUCUCAUUUUCUUCUUCUUAGUCUAUUUUCUCUUAUUAAUUAUAU